rnacentral:rRNA from 1 species
UACGGGGGGGGCAAGCGUUGUUCGGAAUUACUGGGCGUAAAGGGCUCGUAGGUGGCCAACUAAGUCAGACGUGAAAUCCCUCGGCUUAACCGGGGAACUGCGUCUGAUACUGGAUGGCUGGAGUAUGGGAGAGGGAUGCGGAAUUCCAGGUGUAGCGGUGAAAUGCGUAGAUAUCUGGAGGAACACCGGUGGCGAAGGCGGCAUCCUGGACCAACACUGACGCUGAGGCGCGAAAGCGUGGGGAGCAAACAGG